rnacentral:rRNA from 1 species
UGCGUAGGCGGACUUAUAAGUCAGCGGUGAAAGUUUGCAGCUUAACUGUAAAAUUGCCGUUGAAACUGUUAGUCUUGAGUGUAAAUGAGGUAGGCGGAAUGUGUUGUGUAGCGGUGAAAUGCUUAGAUAUAACACAGAACACCAAUUGCGAAGGCAGCUUACUGGGAUACAACUGACGCUGAGGCACGAAAGCGUGGGAUCAAACA